rnacentral:tRNA from 1 species
GCAGGGAUAGCCAAGCUUGGUCAAAGGCGCAGGACUCAGAAUCCUGUCGUUUAGACGUUCGCAGGUUCAAAUCCUGCUCCCUGCA